rnacentral:lncRNA from 1 species
AGACACCUCAAAACCGUUUGUAAAUGAAUGCAGACACCUAGCCUAAAUGCCACAUAUCCAUGGAAGAGCAAGAUAUUCUAAACCAUAGAAUGUGGUGUUGGAGCAGGAUUUUAAAAAUUAUCGAUAUAAUUUAAAAGAUAAAAUAAAAUGAAUAAAAUUUUAUUAUAGAAAAAUUAUAAAAAACUUUCAAAAUAAUAAGAAAUAUAAAUGAUCAAACUGAAAGCAUGCGAGGCAGUGUCUUAAGGC